rnacentral:rRNA from 1 species
UUUGAAAUCUGGCCCUGGCGGCCCGAGUUGUAAUUUGCAGAGGAUGCUUUGGGCGCGGCGCCUUCCGAGUUCCCUGGAACGGGACGCCACAGAGGGUGAGAGCCCCGUACGGUGGGACGCCUACCCCGCGUAUAGCUCCUUCGACGAGUCGAGUAGUUUGGGAAUGCUGCUCUAAACGGGAGGUAAAUUUCUUCUAAGGCUAAAUACCGGCCAGAGACCGAUAGCGCACAAGUAGAGUGAUCGAAAGAUGAAAAGCACUUUGAAAAGAGGGUUAAACAGCACGUGAAAUUGUUGAAAGGGAAGCGUCCGCGACCAGACCUUCUCCAGGCGGAUCCUACGGCGUUCUCGACGUGGCCCUCCGCCUGGUCUAGGCCAGCAUCGGUCCCCGCGGGGGGAGAAAGGCCCGGGGAACGUGGCUCCCCCGGGAGUGUUAUAGCCCCGGGCGCAAUGCCCCCGCGGGGGACCGAGGACCGCGCUCUGCAAGGAUGCUGGCGUAAUGGUCGUCGACGACCCGUCUUGAAACACGGACCAAGGAGUCGAACAUCUGUGCGAGUGUCUGGGUGCCAAACCCUCGCGCGUAAUGAAAGUGAACGUAGGUGAGAGCCCCCCGGGGCGCAUCAUCGACCGAUCCGGAUGUCUUCGGAUGGAUUUGAGUAGGAGCACAGCUGUUCGGACCCGAAAGAUGGUGAACUAUGCGUGGAUAGGGUGAAGCCAGAGGAAACUCUGGUGGAGGCUCGCAGCGGUUCUGACGUGCAAAUCGAUCGUCGAAUCUGCGCAUGGGGGCGAAAGACUUAUCGAACCAUCUAGUAGCUGGUUACCGCCGAAGUUUCCCUCAGGAUAGCAGUGUUGUGUCUUCAGUUUUAUGAGGUAAAGCGAAUGAUUAGGGACUCGGGGGCGCUCUUUAGCCUUCAUCCAUUCUCAAACUUUAAAUAUGUAAGAAGCCCUUGUUACUUCGCUGAACGUGGGCAUUCGAAUGUAUCAACACUAGUGGGCCAUUUUUGGUAAGCAGAACUGGCGAUGCGGGAUGAACCGAACGCGGGGUUAAGGUGCCGGAGUGGACGCUCAUCAGACACCACAAAAGGUGUUAGUACAUCUAGACAGUUGGACGGUGGCCAUGGAAGUCGGAAUCCGCUAAGGACUGUGUAACAACUCACCA